GACGAACGCUGGCGGCGUGCUUAACACAUGCAAGUCGAACGGAAAGGCCUGCUUUCCCUUGUGGAUUGCGGGUGCUCGAGUGGCGAACGGGUGAGUAACACGUGAGUGAUCUGCCCCCAACUUGGGUAUAAGCCUGGGAAACUGGGUCUAAUUCCCGAUAGGACUGCAGGGUGGUGCCUGUGUGGAAAACGAUUUUCUAGUGGUUGGGGAUGAGCUCGCGGCCUAUCAGCUUGUUGGUGGGGUAAUGGCCUACCAAGGAGGCGACGGGUAGCCGGCCUGAGAGGGUGGACGGCGACAUUGGGACUGGGAUACGGCCCAGACGCCUACGGGAGGCAGCAGUGGGGAAUAUUGGACAAUGGGCGGAAGCCUGAUGCAGCGACGCCGCGUGGGGGAUGACGGGCUUCGGGUUGUAAACUCCUUUCGACCGCGAGGAAGCCACCUGGUUGGAAGGGUGGUGACGGUAGUGGUAGAAGAAGCACCGGCUAACUACGUG
rnacentral:rRNA from 1 species